rnacentral:rRNA from 1 species
CUCGAAAGGGGUGCUAAUACCGGAUAAGCCCACGGGAUCCUCGGAUUYUGCGGGAAAAGGUGGCCUCUAUUUAUAAGCUACCGUAUCAGGAUGGGUCCGCGUACCAUUAGCUAGUUGGUGGGGUAAUGGCCUACCAAGGCGACGAUGGUUAGCUGGUYUGAGAGGAUGAUCAGCCACACYGGAACUGAGACACGGUCCAGACUCCUACGGGAGGCAGCAGUGGGGAAUUUUGCGCAAUGGGGGAAACCCYGACGCAGCAACGCCGCGUGAGUGAUGAAGGCUUUCGGGUCGUAAAGCUCUGUCAGAGGGGAAGAAAUGAGACUGGMUAAUAUCCAGUUUUCUUGACGGUACCCUCAWAKGAAGCACCGGCUAACUCCGUGCCAGCAGCCSCGGUAAUWCA